rnacentral:siRNA from 1 species
UGGUUCCGAUGGGGUGAUUCCUC